rnacentral:rRNA from 1 species
GAGCGAUCAAGUGACGUAAGGGCAUCUGGUGGAUGCCUUGGCGCUGAGAGGCGAUGAAGGACGUGGUACGCUGCGAUAAGCCAUGGGGAGCUGCGAACAAGCUUUGAUCCGUGGAUUUCCGAAUGGGGGAACCCAUCUUCAGCGAACAGUGAUCAGUUGGCAGUCGAGUGCGCGCCCGGCAGGGAAAGCGGUUCGGCAAAACUGUCAUCCGGUUACUGUUUGCGAUUAUGAAGAUAUCUGAUCCUUGAAUACAUAGGGGAUUAGAGGCGAACGCAGGGAAGUGAAACAUCUAAGUACCUGCAGGAAAGGACAUCAACCGAGACUCCGCAAGUAGUGGCGAGCGAACGCGGACCAGGCCAGUGGUCAAUCAAACUAAAGCAGAACGGUCUGGAAAGGCCGGCGUUAUGGGUGACAGCCCCGUAUGUGUAGAUGUUUGAUUGAUCCUUGAGUAAGGCGGGACACGUGCAAUCCUGUCUGAACGUGGGGGGCCCACCCUCCAAGCCUAAGUACUCCUCAGCGACCGAUAGCGAACCAGUACCGUGAGGGAAAGGUGAAAAGCACCCCGACGAGGGGAGUGAAAGAGUACCUGAAACCGGAUGCCUACAAACAGUCGGAGGCUGCAAUGCUGACGGCGUACCUUUUGUAUAAUGGGUCAGCGACUUAGUCUGUCGAGCGAGCUUAAGCCGUUAGGUGUAGGCGCAGCGAAAGCGAGUCUGAACAGGGCGUUCAGUUCGACGGAUUAGACCCGAAACGAGGUGAUCUAGUCAUGAGCAGGCUGAAGGUGCGGUAACACGCACUGGAGGGCCGAACCCACGCCUGUUGAAAAAGUCGGGGAUGACUUGUGACUAGGGGUGAAAGGCCAAUCAAACCUCGAAAUAGCUGGUUCUCCGCGAAAUCUAUUUAGGUAGAGCGUCGGACGAAUACCUCGGGGGGUAGAGCACUGCAUAGGCAAGGGGGUCCUACAGACUUACCGAUCUUAAGCAAACUCCGAAUACCCGAGAGUACUAUCCGGCAGACACACGGCGGGUGCUAACGUCCGUCGUGAAGAGGGCAACAACCCUGACCAUCAGUUAAGGUCCCGAAGUCACGGCUAAGUGUGAAACGAUGUGGGAAUCCCAAAACAACCAGGAUGUUGGCUUAGAAGCAGCCAUCAUUUAAAGAAAGCGUAACAGCUCACUGGUCUAGACAAGGGUUCCUGCGCGGACAAUGUAACGGGGCUCAAGCCGUGCACCGAAACUAUGGGUUUGCACUUGUGCAAGCGGUAGCGGAGCGUUCCGUAGGCCUGUGAAGGAGGAUGGGCGACCACCUCUGGAGGUAUCGGAAGUGAGAAUGCUGACAUGAGUAACGCUAAGGGUGUGAGAAGCACCCUCGCCGAAAGUCCAAGGGUUCCUGCGUAAAGCUAGUCUUCGCAGGGUUAGCCGGUCCCUAAGGCGAGGCCGACAGGCGUAGUCGAUGGGAAUGAGGUGAAUAUUCCUCAGCCAGCAGGUGGUGACGGAUGUGAAGGAUCGUAUUCCCUUAACGGAUUGGGGAUGCGGUCUCAGCGUUCCAGGAAAUAGCCCCUGCAUCAGACCGUACCCGAAACCGACACAGGUGGACUGGUAGAGUAUACCAAGGCGUUGAGCGAAUUGUGCUGAAGGAACUCGGCAAAUUGCCUCCGUAACUUCGGGAGAAGGAGGCCCCGGUUUUGGGCAACCAAGAUCGGGGGGCACAGACUAGGGGGUGGCGACUGUUUAACAAAAACACAGGGCUCUGCGAAGCCGCUAAGGCGACGUAUAGGGUCUGACGCCUGCCCGGUGCCGGAAGGUUAAGAGGAGGGGUGCAAGCUCCGAAUUGAAGCCCCGGUAAACGGCGGCCGUAACUAUAACGGUCCUAAGGUAGCGAAAUUCCUUGUCGGGUAAGUUCCGACCUGCACGAAUGGCGUAACGACUUCCCCGCUGUCUCCAGCACAGGCUCAGUGAAAUUGAAUUCCCCGUGAAGAUGCGGGGUUCCUGCGGUCAGACGGAAAGACCCCGUGCACCUUUACUAUAGCUUCACACUGGCAUUCGUGUCGGCAUGUGUAGGAUAGGUGGUAGGCUAUGAAGUGGGGGCGCCAGCUCUCAUGGAGCCAUCCUUGAAAUACCACCCUUAUCGUCAUGACUGUCUAACCGCGGCCCGUCAUCCGGGUCCGGGACAGUGUGUGGUGGGUAGUUUGACUGGGGCGGUCGCCUCCCAAAGAGUAACGGAGGCGCGCGAAGGUAGGCUCAGACCGGUCGGAAAUCGGUCGACGAGUGCAAUGGCAUAAGCCUGCCUGACUGCGAGACUGACACGUCGAGCAGAGUCGAAAGACGGCCAUAGUGAUCCGGUGGUCCCUCGUGGACGGGCCAUCGCUCAACGGAUAAAAGGUACGCCGGGGAUAACAGGCUGAUGAUGCCCAAGAGUCCAUAUCGACGGCAUCGUUUGGCACCUCGAUGUCGACUCAUCACAUCCUGGGGCUGGAGAAGGUCCCAAGGGUUCGGCUGUUCGCCGAUUAAAGUGGUACGUGAGUUGGGUUCAGAACGUCGUGAGACAGUUCGGUCCCUAUCUGCCGUGGGUGUAGGAGUAUUGAGAGGAUCUGUCCCUAGUACGAGAGGACCGGGAUGGACAUACCUCUGGUGGACCUGUUGUGGCGCCAGCCGCAUUGCAGGGUAGCUAAGUAUGGACUCGAUAACCGCUGAAGGCAUCUAAGCGGGAAACGAACCUCAAAACCAGUGCUCCCUAUCAGAGCCGUGGAAGACCACCACGUCGAUAGGCCGGGUGUGGAAGCGCAGCAAUGCGUGAAGCUUACCGGUACUAAUAGCUCGAUCGGCUUCAUCGCUCUCAUUAU